UUUGCACGGUUACGCGUGCGGUCGGGCGCUUCGUCGGCACGAAAAUAGCCUGGAGGUGGGGUUUAGGGGGUUAGGGAUGGGCUGGUUUUAGCUUCGAAGGUGGUUUGCGGGCCUCGGGGGGGAGCACUCCGUCGGGCCUAGCUUAACGCCGGCAGAGCUAGUAGACGAGCUAAGCUGCGGCGGCCUGCUAAACCCGCGCCUUAGGCCUCCCCCCUUAGAAACGCGCGCCCGCCUCCGCUAGCUCCCCUCGUCAGUACUCGCUCCACAAGCUCCCGAUGCUCGCGGUCAUGACGCUCCUUAGGCGGAGGGAGAGGGCGUUCACGUGGCAGCGGAGGCGGGAGCUACCUCUCUUCUUCUUCGUCUCCGAGAGGCUCUAGGUCAGGCCGCACGUCCUUCGACUUAGCGACUAAGCCUCCUACCUGGACCUCCGAUCCUUAUGCGGCGGAUCGCACUUUCGCCCAAACGAUCGAUUCGACGCCCUCAUGUUUAGACUGGAAUUGUUGGAGUUCUCGCUCGAGUUCUCCUAGAGCCGCGGAUUACGGUCCGUUUGAUGGUUCCUCCUCGAGGAACUUAGACCGUACCGACUGUGUGAGCGCCACAGGUGACUAGUCGCUCCUUCCAACUACUACUGUUGACUUUCUGACUUAGUCAGGUGACUGUCUUAAUUUCUCUCGGCUUCUUGAUACGACCUCUGUCUUCUUGAACCACACAGCUAAGAAGUCCUGGAAGUAGUUGUUGCCGUCAGUGAUGACGUACGAGUGCUAUGAAACGUACCCCAACUACUAUUGCAACCUUUCUCAUUCUUUUAGGACAGCCGUUACAGUUUCUCCUACCUGUCCUUGUUCACCUAGUAACCACCUUAGUAAAGUCGAGAACAACACCGGUAGGAAUAGUAUGAGAUGAAAUUCGAGCGAGUGACUCGGUCGGUCAAGUAACCAAGGGAUAUUUGUAAAAAUUUAUAACCUACUCACCAAGUAACCGUACAGUACAUAUCGUUGUGAGCACACUCCUCCAGUCAACACGGGCUGGUAAAAUACUACAUUUUGACAAGUCUUUUUGUUUUCACCUUUUCUUCUACAGGACACAACUAUAUGAUGAUGGACGAACGUAUACAAUAUAUGUGUAAGCUCCAGCGAAC
rnacentral:rRNA from 1 species